CAAGAGCUCGGGCGAUCUCAUCACAUCUGAUCUAGAGUCUGCGCUCAACAAACGUGUCUGCCAACCAGUAUAAGUAGGAACCUCGUGACCCCUCAUCCCAUCCGGAUCGAGAGUGUGGGCAUAGAGAGGCGGGGAAGGCAAAGCACCUCCGAUGCGAGUGGGAUUGAGCAAAUUGAGCCACAGCCGUGGAACCACAUCAAUUGCAAAGUUCUAUCCCCUUGCAAACACUCCAGGAGGUUAGAUAGGCCACGUAUAACGUAUGUGAGGUCUUGGCAGGGGAAAGGAUGUAUCGGAUACAAGGAAUUCAUCACCGGAGUAUCCCCUACACGGCGGAGCCGCGCUGUGUCAUGUCGUGAAUCGGCUCGACCACAACAUGUCAACAUCGUUACCGAUCAAGAACAAGUACUGCAAGAUGAGGAGCAUGAAGGAUGUUACGAUGAGUUCGGAGAGGUCUAGGCUGUCGUCUCCUAGUUAACUAUGGUUACGGAGGAUUGUUGUCAUGAUAUGAUGUAUUUAUUUAGCUAUUUUGUAUAGAACCUCUAUUAUGCAAUAAAGAUGUGACAUUAAUUUA